rnacentral:lncRNA from 1 species
GUCCUAUCUUCCUUACAUCCCUUGAAUUUGAUUGUAUAGAUGCUCUACUUAUAUUUUCUUCAUAAUUUGAUGGCAAUAGCAAAGCCACUGGUUUGACCUUUCUUGCUAUUGAUUUAUACUUAGUUUCAAUACAUAUCUCUUGGCGACUUAAAUUUUCUAUAAAUCCUUGAAUUUCAUCAUAAAAUUCUUUAGAACAUACAUUAAUAAAUCUAUUUUUUACUUGUAAUCUACAUUUUAAUAUAUAAUUUAAUUUCUUCAUAAUAUUUGUAAAACCUACUUCUUCAUAUGUUACUAAAAAAAAUUCAUUUUCAAUCGACUCUCUAUUUUCUUUCAAGUUUUAUUCAAUCAUUUUAAUAUAAGGUCUGUCCAUCUUUUUCAUCUUGUCAAUAGUCUUAAAAGUCAAUAUACAAUCUUAUGUCAUCCUAAUAAGUUUAGUAGAUAAUAUUUCUUCUUCUAAACUAAGCGGAAGCAUUUCUUUUUUUAAUCCAUUGCAACCACGCUUUACAAUGGUAUGCG